rnacentral:lncRNA from 1 species
GCUCGGGUUGCCAGUGGCACAGCGCAUCCUUCCACCCGCGGUCUCCUCUCGGAAAAGAGGCGGAUUCCCAACUGCGCCGCUGCCAUGGCCUCAGUACCCUCCGCCGGCUGCCUCCUGGCCAAGAACCAGUACUACAGAACAAGACUGAACUCUGAAUCCAGUGUUUCUUCCAGCUCCUCCUGCUGUUCAGAUGCCACGAACGUUACAGACCAGGAAAAAAUAUUUCAUGGGUUACCUGACUUAAUUGAUAAAUAUUGGUGGAUAAAAAGCUUCUUCCAUAGUGAACCAUCUCCACCACCUGUUGGCAGAAAAACGCUAUCAGCAAGCAGUACCAAUAGUUGAAAGAACAAUGUGAUGGCCUUACUGACUGAGAUGCUAUAUACAGACCUGUUUUUCCAAGAGGCUUGGGAUCUUCCUAAUGUCUGGGUUCAGCUGCGAGAAGAAAACAAAACCUUUAGGAAAGUGGAAAAGUGUAUUUUCAAAAUAUUUUUCAGUAGCUUAAAUGGUAUUGCUUAAUGGAUAUGUCCAUGGCCCACCGUGUUCUUUACAGAAUUGUAUAAUUUGAGAUGUCUCUCUAAUGGAAGUAACCAGGAUUAAAUAUCCAGAUUAACUGAAUAAUUAGAGAAAAAAUUACAAUAAAGGUAAGAUUGUAGGUUUAGGAGAAGAAUCU